GUUGAACGCUGGCGGAAUGCUUUACACAUGCAAGUCGAACGGCAGCACGGACUUCGGUCUGGUGGCGAGUGGCGAACGGGUGAGUAAUAUAUCGGAACGUGCCCAGUCGUGGGGGAUAACGUAGUGAAAAUUACGCUAAUACCGCAUACGAUCUAUGGAUGAAAGCGGGGGAUCGCAAAACCUCGCGCGAUUGGAGCGGCCGAUAUCAGAUUAGGUAGUUGGUGAGGUAAAGGCUCACCAAGCCAACGAUCUGUAGCUGGUCUGAGAGGACGACCAGCCACACUGGAACUGAGACACGGUCCAGACUCCUACGGGAGGCAGCAGUGGGGAAUUUUGGACAAUGGACGCAAGUCUGAUCCAGCCAUUCCGCGUGCAGGACGAAGGCCUUCGGGUUGUAAACUGCUUUUGUACGGAACGAAAAGGUCUCUAUUAAUACUAGGGGCUCAUGACGGUACCGUAAGAAUAAGCACCGGCUAACUACGUGCCAGCAGCCGCCGUAA
rnacentral:rRNA from 1 species